AUGGUUCUGGUCUUUCAUAUCUGCUUGUUGCUUAGCUUGACGUUAUUUCUGCUUUUUGUUCUCCUUCCUUUCUGUAUAACGUGGUCCUGCCUAAGUUCAUGCUCCUUUAUCCUGCAUGGCCCUGGGGUGAGAUUCCAGGAGCGGGCCCUCCCCUUGGAUCACCACAUCAGCGCGAGGUUCUCCCUGGCAUCCUUGACCUGCAUUCCUGAUUCUGGCUUGGCCACCAGGAAUGCAGCCAAUGGCAUCAGAGCCAAACUGAAGAUCGGAGGGGCUGAGCCGAGACCGUGGCAUGAGUCGCCCAGCGCUGGUUCCUGGAUCCCAUACCAGCUCUUUAUCCCCAGCAAGAAAGAGCGCAGCCACAAUGAGGUGGGAGAGGUGUGACAAAGCCACCGGAGGAUCAAAAGCUACGGAGUGACCUGAACAGCCUUGGAUGCAGGUGACACGUGUGCAAGGAGUUCAGGUCAACGAGCGUCAUGGUCAGGCCAGCGGGUCGUGGGGUCUGCUCAGCCGGGGUCUGAGUCCAGCUCUCACUGGUUAAAUUUAGUGGAUAAAUUGCUUCACCUUGCUAAGCCUCAGUUUUCUUCUCUGCGAAAUGGGCUGGUGGGGCCUCUGCACGGAUUACUUGAUGGGAAGCAUGUAAAGCUCUGAGCGGCUCACAGCCUGGCUCCCCCCACCGCCUUUCCUCCUCUUCCUCUCCCUCGCCUCUCUUUUCUGCCUUCUGAUGUGUGAAUAGGACUUGAAAGCCGGGGUGGCGGCCCUGUGAGGGUUGCUCUCUGCAUAACGAGCUUUCAUCCCCGUUGCCAUGACAGCUGUAAUGCUCUCCCCUCGGGAGCAGCCGAGGUCUAACAACUGCUGAAGAGGCCCCUUUAGAGCACGUUGAACACUCUAAAGAGAAUUUCCGCUCCCACAUCAGGGCACUUGACAAUCGUUUUCCUCCUCGAGACUCAGCUCCGAGGAGUGGUGUCCAGCUGUGGGAAGGGAUGCCGGGCUGGGUUCAGUCUUUAAUGAGAGCUAUCUGGGGUGUGGCACGACCUUCCCCCUCCAUCAUUCCUUGCUGUCUCCCAGGGAGGGAGCUGGUCCUGCUGACCGUCAGCCAAGGCCGGUGCUGGGAGGUCCCUGUGGGCACAGAACCUCCUUUUCAAAGGCUCUCUCUCUGGUGAGCAGCCAUCCACAUUUACAUGACAUUUGUUCAGGAGUGGCUCUUACCUGUGCAUCACUGUUGUUUAAACAUAAAUUUACCGCCCCCUCCUUUUAAGCACCAUAGUAGGCGUAGAUCUGAUAGCCUACCAGCAGAACUUUAGAUUGUCAUCUUAGGGCCAGUUGGUCCUCAGCCGCAUCACAAGCCAGAGGAAAGAACGAGGGUGUUUGGCCCCUGGGUAUAGGAAAUAGAUUUGAGCUUUCUAUCUAUGAGAUGCCCAAUGAAAAUUUCAGUUAUUUGAUAAUGCGAGACACGGUUCCCCAAAUUUCUUCCCUUUCUAAAACAGCACCAGUGAAACAUCAUUAACAUCGAGAAUGCUUAUUACAACGCUCUCGGUUGCAAAUGAUGGACUCUCAGCUCAAAUAAACAUAAGCAAAGGCCGUGUUUAGACUCA
rnacentral:lncRNA from 1 species